rnacentral:rRNA from 1 species
GUAGGAUUCCAGCUCCAAUAGCGUAUAUUAAAGUUGUUGCAGUUAAAAAGCUCGUAGUUGAAUUUCGGGGUUCUACCGUUGGUCGGGCAAUAGUCUGUACUGGCGUGUAGAAUUUCUACCUUCUGGGGAACCAUCAUGUUAUUUAUUUAGCGUGGUGGGAAACCAGGACCUUUACCUUGAAAAAAUUAGAGUGUUCAAAGCAGGCUUACGUCUGAAUACAUUAGCAUGGAAUAAUAAAAUAGGACGGUGGUCCUGUUUUGUUGGUUUCUGAAUCACCGUAAUGAUUAAUAGGGAUAGUUGGGGGCAUUAGUAUUCAAUUGUCAGAGGUGAAAUUCUUGGAUUUAUUGAAGACUAACUUCUGCGAAAGCAUUUGCCAAGGAUGUUUUCAUUAAUCAAGAACGAAAGUUAGGGGAUCGAAGACGAUCAGAUACCGUCGUAGUCUUAACCAUAAACUAUGCCGACUAGGGAUCGGACGAUGUAAAAG